rnacentral:rRNA from 1 species
GGGGGGGGGGGGGGGGGGGGGGGGGGGGGGGGGGGGGGGGGGGGGGGGGGGGCGUUUGGGGGGUGCUCGGGUGGCGAACGGGGGGUUAACACGUGCGUAACCUGCCCUUGACUUUGGGGUCACUUCAGGAACCUGGGGCUAGUACCGGCUGUGGGCUCCUGCUGCCUGGUGGGGGUUGGACAGUUUCGGCGGUUGGGGAUGUACUCGCGGCUUAUCAGCUUGUUGGUGGGGUAGUGGCUUACCACGGCUUUGACUGGUAGCAGGCCUGAGAGGGUGACCGGCCACAUUGGGACUGAGAUACGGCACAGACUCCUACGGGAGGCAGCAGUGGGGAAUAUUGCACAAUGGGCGGAAGCCUGAUGCAGCAACGCAGCGUGCGGGAUGACGGCCUUCGGGUUGUAAACCGCUUUCGCCUGUGACGAAGCGUGAGUGACGGUAAUGGGUAAAGAAGCACCGGCUAACUACGUG